AGACGACGAAACAAUCAUCAUGAAGAUUGAAGAAUUGAGGCUUUGUUAUUAGUAGUUUGCUUAGUGAUGGUUGUUCAACUGUUUAGACUUUGUUAUUUAUGAAUGUAUCAAAAGAUUAAAAUGACCAUCAUUAACAAAUUACCUUAGGGAGGUAAAUGAUGAGAUGAUUCAUCAAUGAACGGCUGCUAGGCCUUAAAGUGUCCAAAUAUCUGUUAUGAUCUUGACUAUAGUUGAGACCAAUCAUAUUGGUGCAAUCCCCUUACUUCCACAACUGCUGAUUCAAUAGAAUUGGUGGAAAACCAAGCAUGCAUUGGAGUAUAAGUUUCCUUGUUAGUAACAAUGUGAAAGACUAGUUUUUCUGGGUUGGCUGAAUUUUGAACUGCAGA